GACGAACGCUGGCGGCGUGCCUAACACAUGCAAGUCGAGCGGGGUUGAAGCGAGAGGUAACUCGAGUUUCUACCUAGCGGCGGACGGGUGAGUAACGCGUGGGCAACCUGCCUCAAGGUCUGGGAUAACAGCCCGAAAGGGCUGCUAAUACCGGGUAUGCUUGUGGCCUCGCAUGGGGCUAUGAGCAAAGGGGAAACCCGCCUUGAGAUGGGCCCGCGUCCCAUCAGCUAGUUGGUGAGGUAACAGCUCACCAAGGCGACGACGGGUAGCCGGCCUGAGAGGGUGACCGGCCACACUGGGACUGAGACACGGCCCAGACUCCUACGGGAGGCAGCAGUUGGGAAUCUUAGGCAAUGGACGAAAGUCUGACCUAGCGACGCCGCGUGAGGGAAGAAGGCCUUCGGGUUGUAAACCGUCUGUCAUGGGGAAGAAGGAAGUGACGGUACCCAACGAGGAAGCCCUGCUAACUACGUGCCAGCAGCCGCGGUAACAUACUCGUA
rnacentral:rRNA from 1 species